rnacentral:rRNA from 1 species
UACGAAGGGGGCUAGCGUUGUUCGGAAUUACUGGGCGUAAAGCGCACGUAGGCGGAUAUUUAAGUCAGGGGUGAAAUCCCAGAGCUCAACUCUGGAACUGCCUUUGAUACUGGGUAUCUUGAGUAUGGAAGAGGUAAGUGGAAUUGCGAGUGUAGAGGUGAAAUUCGUAGAUAUUCGCAGGAACACCAGUGGCGAAGGCGGCUUACUGGUCCAUAACUGACGCUGAGGUGCGAAAGCGGUGGGGAGCAAACAGG